ACAAAACGAACAAGCCUACACGUCAAAUUUAAAAUAAUUAAUUACGAAUAAAUGCAUAACAGGAAUUUGACUCAAGCCAAAACCGAAUUAAGUUAUACAAAAACAAGAAACAAUUUUGAAAUCAAUUACAUCGAGCCUAAUAUGCUCAUUACUUGGAACCUACCAGAAACACUUUUGAGACAAAAUUGCAUCAAUAGAGAAAUAAUAAUAGAAGGUAAUAACCUUAUAAAAGCGCCAAGCUGUUCAAUCCAACUAGAUGAAAUAAUAAUCACAAGCACACUACUAGAUUAUACACAAACGAUUUAUGUAAGUAAUAAUGUAACCAAAAUAGAACCAUGUCAUACAUUCAAGCUAAAGAAAUCGUAAAAGAUCACACAUAAAUGUACAAUACCUUUCAAAUUGUAACAGUAAGAACACUGCAUAAUUAUGCCAAGCGCACCACAUAUGAAAUAUGAUACUCCCCAAUUUGUAACAACAAGCCCUAGAAGCCCAAAAUCAUGAAUUCUUGGUAAAAAUAACAAUUCUGGCGUGAGAUCGAUCAUUAAAUCAAAAACCAGUAGGCAUAAACACCCACCACAAUCGUUAAUCCCACCAAAGGCCCAAGCGCAAUAUCGAGUUGAGAUUAUGACGACACUGUAAUAAUUGUAGACAGUAUGAAUUCGUUGCUUUUCGAAAGGCAUUUUUUUUGUUACAUGGAUUUAUAUAUGCAUGCUUGGAUUGGUUCCCUGCUGAAAUCUAUACUGGACGUUAAAAGGUGUGUUGUACGCUAAAACGCAUCAUAUUUGGCAAUUCAAGCGACAUUGUAUUACCAUUACUCUCUGUUAUCAACUACAUUGCGACUAUGGAAUCGCCAACACAAAAUGACAAAAAGGAUCAAGGGAUUGAUUUUUCUUAAAUUAAAUUUAAUAGAUUUUAUAUUUGACCAAUUUGAUCAACUAGUACCUAAUUUUAUUUUCGAUUAUAUCAGCAGACAUAAAAACUUUUCAUCAAUUUUCUCUCUACACUGCUCUCGCGCUUAAGCGUAUUGGCCAAGUGAUUGUGUCGUUUCCUUUCCUUCUGCAGGUCAUCCUUUAAUUUUUUUUUGUUUAUGAACAGUUGAUUUAUUUUUAAUUAAUUACUGCGCACGGCCAUUCAGUCAUUGGGACAUAUUUAUAGAAGGAAAAUACGAAUAUGUAAGUGGAUAUAAGACUGUAAUGGAGAACAUCUUGUGCUUGUUGAGAUUUAUUUGAACAACUAUAUUAUAUCUGCCUAUUUUAAUAGGAACAGGGUAUUCUACUUCUAAUUUUAAAUGUAGCCAACGCUAUUAUCACGACAUUGCAUGUACCUCGACCGAAACAUUUGGCUUGUCGUGCCCAACUCUGGCGGCCCAGAGUUUGUUUAGUUCUUUCUUUUCCCAGUUUCUGAAUAGAUCCAUUUUUAUCCUUAAGAGAAUCCCCAGAAAGAUCCAGGGCCGAUUGAUGGUGUAUUUGUUUUCGGCAUGACCAUUAUGUCUGGAAACCCUCAUACAGUAAGAGUAUUGUUUUGCAAGAAGCAAACUGGAUGAAAUCGUGUCAGCUCUGAACGCCGCCUGUCUGCUAAUGAAUAGAUAUUACAAUUUUAGAUAUACAUUCUUAAUCAGUUCCAGGCGGUGUAAAAUUUAAGUCGUCUAAUGCUAUCUUGAACCCAACGUUUAGUUAAAAAUAUGGUUUCAGUCCACCGAAUAAAGAACCAUAAGUUGGAAAUAAUGCAUUCCGCCCCUAUUAGUCUUGUGGUAAGAAUCUUGAUGCCAAAAAAGUAACUUUUACCCCCUGUUUACCAUCUAGCGCGGUUGUUAAAAAAAAGUAAUCAUUUUUCCGACAAAUUACCACAGUAGCGGGUGGAAUUUCCAAAAUCGCUGAAACACGCAUUCAUUUAGUUCUUAUAUAAUAGGCUUUCAAAGUAAGUUUUAAGCAGAACGGACAAAACUUCGCCAAAAUAAUCUCAUAAUCGCAUAUUCCACAGAGGAAGCACGAUUAAAAAAAAAAAGUUUGAAACAGGUCUCAAAUGUUUUUAGUAAGGAGCUGUGGAAAUCUGUGUCUGUGAGAGCAAACAGUUUUAUAUAGAGAUGAGACUUGGCCACGGCUAAUGACACGUUGAACCAAGGUUCAAAGAUACCAGCAUCUAAAUACGAUUUGAUGGAACGGCUCAUUAAAAUGAACUACUGAACUUAUUCAGUGAUGAGAAACUGGACGAAUGAACUUAUUCAGCAAAUUGAACUUGAAAGCCCCACACUACUAAAUACUAAGCAAGUAGUUUGCAUUAGACUAAAAUGAAAUGUAUUUGCCUGUAACUGUAUAACAAAGUGGUAAUCGGUUUUUUAUUAUGCUUUUAUGCAUAAAAAUA